UUUAAUUGAAGAGUUUGAUCAUGGCUCAGAUUGAACGCUGGCGGCAGGCCUAACACAUGCAAGUCGAGCGGUAACAUUUCUAGCUUGCUAGAAGAUGACGAGCGGCGGACGGGUGAGUAAUGCUUGGGAACAUGCCUUGAGGUGGGGGACAACAGUUGGAAACGACUGCUAAUACCGCAUAAUGUCUACGGACCAAAGGGGGCUUCGGCUCUCGCCUUUAGAUUGGCCCAAGUGGGAUUAGCUAGUUGGUGAGGUAAUGGCUCACCAAGGCGACGAUCCCUAGCUGGUUUGAGAGGA
rnacentral:rRNA from 1 species